rnacentral:rRNA from 1 species
CGGGUGAGUAACACGUGGGUACCUACCCCAAGAUGAGGAAUACCACCGAGAAAUCGGUGACAAGACCACAUACGCUCGGCAACGAGCAAAGCCUCGUCAGAGGCGUCUUAGGAUGGGCCUGCGCCUGAUUAGCUAGUUGGUGGGGUAAAAGCCUACCAAGGCGUCGAUCAGUAGCUGGUCUGAGAGGAUGAUCAGCCACACUGGGAUUGAGAACGGCCCAG